UUGAUUUAAAUUUGAAUCAAGGAAGGUUAAACCUCCCAUGUAUCAAGGCUAACCACCAAUCUUUAACCCAUUGAUCAAAAAAAGAAAGAAGAAGAAGAAGAAGAAGAAGAAGAUGAUGAAUAAUAAAGUGCAUUAAUGGAAAUGAAAUGAGGUAAUCAACAAGCAUUGAUCAAGAUAGAGGAGAUCAAGGUCAAACAAUAGUAAACAGAAGCAAAAUGAAGAUUAGAAGUCAAGAAACAAAUAAAAUAUUU
rnacentral:lncRNA from 1 species